UUGGACCUUGCAGCGAACAUCAUGCCUGGUGAUCUUAGUCAGUGGAUAAUGAAGCAUUAUGAUCUAGAGAUGUCACAGAUAGUUAUUCCAGAUAGGGGCAAGAUUCCAGUAGAUGCUGCCAGUGUUCGGAGGAUAUGGGGUUUGCCAAAUAAGGGGAGAAAAGUCUGCUAUGAAAACCGCCCUGAGAUCACAAAGGCAAUGUUUAGGAUUUACAAUAUCACUUCAAAGAAUUCACCAACUCUGACAGCAUGGUGCAAGAUGAGUAAAGACAUGGUAGGAGCUCACGAUGAUGACUUCCUCUGCGCAUGGCUGUUUCUUGUUUUCUCCUGCUUCCUUGCACCAUCUACAAGUUUAAGCAUCUCACCAAAAAGCUUCCCUGCGGUCAUGGAUGUAAAUGGAAUAACUAAAACCAACAUAUGCCAGUUUGUUGUUGAUCAACUAAAGCUAGCAUUCAAAUCAGGUCAUGCCAAGAAGGUUGUUUGUUGUUGUGUUUUCCACCUCGUGGUAAGUUCACCUAACUUUGGAUCUGUAUGUUUUCUUUCUUAUCUCUAUGUUUUCUUAAAAAUCAUUACGUAA
rnacentral:rRNA from 1 species